rnacentral:rRNA from 1 species
GUAGGUGGCAAGCGUUGUCCGGAAUUAUUGGGCGUAAAGCGCGCGCAGGCGGUUCUUUAAGUCUGAUGUGAAAGCCCACGGGCUCAACCGUGGAGGGUCAUUGGAAACUGGAGAACUUGAGUACAGAAGAGGAAAGCGGAAUUCCACGUGUAGCGGUGAAAUGCGUAGAGAUGUGGAGGAACACCAGUGGCGAAGGCGGCUUUCUGGUCUGUAACUGACGCUGAGGCGCGAAAGCGUGGGGAGCAAACAGGAUUAGAUACCCUGUAGUCCACGCCGUAAACGAUGAGUGCUAAGUGUUAGGGGGUUUCCGCCCCUUAGUGCUGCAGCUAACGCAUUAAGCACUCCGCCUGGGGAGUACGACCGCAAAGGUUG